AAGGAUUAAAUAGUUAGGGUUUUCAAAUUUUAAAGGGCUUGAAUGGUAAAUUCCCAUUCAACCGAAAAAAAAAUGGAAAUAAGAGGGAUUGGCGUGACUUGAUCCUAGGAACCAAAAGGAGAAAUGAAAAGGCUUAACUAUUUGGGGUGUUACCCACUCUUGGUAAGUUUUCCCUCCAUUUAAUAUUUGUUUUAAGGCUUAACUGUUUGGGAAAGGUAUGGAUAGAACCUAGGACCUCUAAGGAGUAUACUAAGCCAUGUUAUUUCUUAGUUACUUAUUU
rnacentral:lncRNA from 1 species